UAAACUACGAUUAGAUACCCUAUUAUUAUAUGUGUAAAUUUUUAGCUUGGGUAGUAUUAGUUAUGUUCUUUAAACCUAAAGAAUUUGGCGGUGUUUUAGUCUAUUUAGAGGAAUUUGCCCUUUAAUCGAUAAUCCUCGUUUUAUCUUGCUUUAUUUUGUUUUCAAUAUGUAUACCGCCGUUAUAAGUUUAUUUUAAAAGGAAAUAAAUUUACUUUAAUCUUAAUUUUGAUUUAUUUCAGGUCAAGGUGCAGUCUAUAUUAAAGUUGAGGUGAAUUACAAUAUUAUUUUAAUAAAUGGAUAUUUUUUUUAAAAGUUUGUUGAAGGUGGAUUUAAUUGUAAUUUUUGUUAUAAUGCUUAUUUGAUUUUAGCUCUAAAAUGAGCACACAUCG
rnacentral:rRNA from 1 species